AGAACAAUACAUAAAUAAUUCAAGUAUUCAACAUCUUUAAAUAAUAAAUGUAAUGCGUUUUUUAGAAACUUUGGCAAAUCUGCCAACCUGUUGAAACUCUCGGUGUGCUUCAACAUUAUUAAUGUUUACAAUGAAACUAUGACGAAUUUCGUUUUAAUCUUUUGGAUUAUGAUUCUUGAAACAGUGAAGAACGUAAUUAGAUGGAAAAAAAUCGAUUUUUCAGACCUACCUAAGUGUAUAUGCCCCCUUAAAUAAUUCUUAAAAUAUUUUAUUUCCUUUGUAAACUAUUAAAAAAAUUAUUAUUUUUACUUUUUAAAAGAAAAAUUGUGGGGGGGCAAGGCCACUAUGAUCCCCCCCCCCUUUGAAUCCGCCACUGGCAACAGCCUUUUUACUUCUGUAGCUUUUAAUAACGGAUUCUUUCGCGAUAUGAAAUUAAAAGUACGACCGAUAAAUGUUUCCGAAAAAUAUUCAAUCAAAUUGAAAACUUCACAAAAAACGGUUCCUUGCUGGGUUGUUAAAAGGAUCGAAGUUUUAGACGCACACGUAGGCAAUUUUAGAUUUUGCAGAGAGGGUUGUAGCAAUGCAAAAUUACCAACAUAUUUGAAAAACAAAUAAAGCAUUGUUAAACGCUAAGUGCCACGUCAAACUUUGCUUUUCAUGCGCUAUCGCUGCUGCCUUACAUCCUGUUCGAGUUAAUGCUAAUCGGAGUAAAAAGUACACUAGAUUCGUAAGGAAAUUUAAAUUGGAUAAUGUAACUUUUCUAUAAGUGUUUAUAAGUAACAUCAAAAAGUUUGAAAAAAUUAACAAUUUGAAAAUAAAUGUAUAUGGAAUAGAAGACAAAAUCGUCUGCCCGAUUUACGUUUCAGACGAUGAGACAAAUACGAAUCCAAAUUGAUUUGUUAUUUUUUGAUAAUCAUUUUCUUCUCAUAAAAAAUUUCAAUAGGUUUUUAUGCCCCGGACAUAGUUAAAUUAUAGCUGUAAACGCUGUCUUACUAGUUUCAAAUGAUCUUCGACUUUAGUCGCGCACAAGAAACUAUGCCAAGAGAACAAAAUACAAAAAGUCAGUAUGCCCCUUAAAGAUGCACCAAUCUGACUAGAAUGGUCAAUCACCCUUUCGUUAUUUACUGCGAUUUCGAAUCGCUCACCAAAGAAGUUUCAGGACCGGGCCCCUCAUCAUCGAUUAAGGAUUGAUGAAAAGAUUAUAUUUCAUGAAUACUACGCCGGUCAAAACACCGUGUUGCAAUUUCUAGAAACCCUUAAAUAUCUUUCGCAACAUAUUCUGAAAUUAAUGCAUCAGGUAUCACCAAUGAUUUCUGAAAUUGAUACAUCAGUUAUCGCCAAUGUCUUCUGAAAUUGAUACAUCAGGUAUCGCCAAUGAUUGAAGAAAUUGGGCAUGAUAUCGACCCCGAUAGAUGCCACAUAUGCAAAAAGGAGUUUGUGUGUAAUGACAUAAGGGUAAGGGAUCACCAACAUUUUGGCGACUGUGCUAUUCGCGGUGGGGCAUGUCAGGUCUGCUCUGCAAUCCAAAUUGUCGUAUUCGAUAUUUUAUACCCAUAGUUCUUCACAACGGCGAAAAUUACGCUGCUCGUUUAAUUUUAAAAAAACAUUCCAAAAAAUUAUGCCGGUGCAAUUAAUGUCAUCUCUGUUAAUAUGGAAAAAUUCAUGAUGUUUUCUCUAGAUUCCCUUAAAUUUAUGGACUCAUUUCAGUUUUUAAACAGAUCACUCGACACUCUAGUUGAUAAUUUGAUUAACGCUAAUCACGACUUCAAAAUUUUUUCGCAAAAUUUUUGAACAUGAACAACAUCGCAAUUAUUGUUGAGAAAGGGAAUAUUUCCUUAUAGUUAUUUAGAUAGCAUCGAUACAUUGAAAGAAACAACAUUACCUUCUAAAAGAAGCAUUUUUAAACAUUUUAACCAACUAGCCAACUCGGAUGAAGAUUGUGAUCACGCUAGAAAUGUAUACCAAAAUUUUUGUUGCGAAACAAUACCUAGAACUGUAUUAAAACACAGAUACUGUACUUUUGACAGAAAUAUUUUCUUCCUUCAGACAGAAAUGCUUAAAAGAAUACGAGCUCGCUCCGGUACAUUUUUUAACGAGCGCAGAGCUAACGCGGAACGUAGGUCUGAAAUUUACCAAAGUCAAAUUAAAGUUGUUAAAAAGUGUAGAUAAGUAUAUUUGGUUCGAAAGCCAAGUGCUCGGUGGUGUGUGUUAUUUGGGCAAACGUUACUGUAAAGCAAACAUUCCCUAUUUAGAAGAAUAUGACGAAAGUAAACCGCAUAAUUUCAUAUGCGCGUUAGAUGUCUGUAAUCACUAUGGCACUGUAAUGUGUCAGAAAUUGCCUAUCGAUAACUUUUCGGGGCUUACAGAAGAUGAAAUUUUAAAUUUUGAUGCUUAUAAUUAAGAUGCGAACUCAAAUGUCGGAUUCAUUCUCGAAGUAGACUUGGACCGUUCCUCCUUAGUGCAUGAUAAAUUGGACGAGUUUCCCUUGGCAGUCGAACAUUUUAAUAUAACAUACGGUAUUUUAUCCAAUUAUUCUAAAAAAAUGUGCAAUUAGUUCAAUUUAAAAUCCACAUUACCCACCAAAAAGCUAACUGCCACGUUAUACGACGAAAAGAAUUAUAUUACGCACUACUUAAAUUUGAGAUUUUACUUAGAUCAGGGUAUGAUACUUAAAAAAAUUCACGGAGUUAUGUGCUUUUCGCAAAGCAAAUGGUUAGAAGAAUACAUUAAGUUCAACCACGAUAGAAGAAUAAACGCAGACGACGAAUAUACUAAAUUUCUAUACAAAUUAAUGAAUAACGCGCUCUUUCGUAGACUAAUUAUCCAGUGCCCUUUGGAAUACUUUGAACCAGUGAAUGAUAAUUUAACAAUUUUUAAAAUGAAGCAAGCUAACCUCAUUUUAGACAAACCCAUAUAUCCUGGGUUUGUUAUUUUAGAACCUUCGAAAUUGCACAUGUAUUCACUAUUUUACGAUAAAUGUAAAAAGCAUUAUAAUUCAGAUUGUGAGUUACUGUACAUUGAUACAGACUCGCUAAAUUUAAAUAUUAAAACCCAGAAUGUAUACGGCGAUUUUAAAGAGCAUUUUUCAUCCAUUUUAGAAAUGAGUCAUUUCGAUCUGAAUAAUUCAAGCAAGGGAAAAUUGGGAUUGUUAAAAAAAUGAGACAGUGUUAGCCAUUUAGGAAUUUGUGGGUCUCCGCCCAAAGAUGUAUGCAUUUUCUUACGGAAGGAAUGUAAAAUGACCGCCAAAGGUGCAUUAAAAGAGUAUAACAUAGAAAUGUGUAAAUCAGCUUUAUCUCAACAAACAAAAAACCAGACAGACUCAGUGCUCCGAAGAAACAUACUCUGAUGACGGAAAUUCAAAAUAAAAUCGGAUUAUCCCCCUAUUACGAUAAGCGAUACUUACUCGAUAAUGGAAUAGACUCUUUAGCAUACGGGCACUGUAGUAUAAAUGAAAAAGAAGACGAUUCAAGUUAAAAUCUAUCCAGCACACACCACAACCGUUACUUAUCACUCUUUUUUUUAUUUCAUACCAGUUAUUACCUCACUUUAUAUAUAUAUAUAUAUUUGUUUUUAGUAUUUGUGUUUUUUUUUUUCACUAAUUGAUGCAUUCCAUUCUAUUGCAUUUUCUAUUGGACAUUUUUGUGCGUGCUUUUGUAUUUUUAACCAAAAAAAGAAAAAAAAAAGCAUUCACUCCUAAUAAUGCCCUGUAUGCCAAUCUUUUCCUGUGUCAAUGUGUAUUUGAUUCAUUGUCGUCGGCAGGGUUAAUGUGCAGAGCGACUAAGUCCAACACCAUCCAGAGAAGGAACUCUUUCAGAGGAGAAAUUAGGUUGACGAAACAAGCCCUUUCAUCCCUUCCGGUGAGUGAGAGAGAGGGAGGGAAAGAAACUAUGGAGAGAGAGAAAGGAGCGCAGCUCUCACUAUUCUCGGAUGACACUCCUCGCA
rnacentral:lncRNA from 1 species